GACGAACGCUGGCGGCGUGCUUAACACAUGCAAGUCGAACGGAAAGGCCCUGCUUUUGUGGGUUGCUCGAUUGGCGAACGGGUGAGUAACACGUGAGUAACCUGCCCUUGACUUUGGGAUAACUUCAGGAAACUGGGGCUAAUACCGGAUAGGAUCUCCUGCUGCAUGGUGGGGGUUGGAAAGUUUCGGCGGUUGUGGAUGGACUCGCGGCUUAUCAGCUUGUUGGUGGGGUAGUGGCUUACCAAGGCUUUGACGGGUAGCCGGCCUGAGAGGGUGACCGGCCACAUUGGGACUGAGAUAGGGCCCAGACUCCUACGGGAGGCAGCAGUGGGGAAUAUUGCACAAUGGGCGGAAGCCUGAUGCAGCAACGCCGCGUGCGGGAUGACGGCCUUCGGGUUGUAAACCGCUUUCGCAUGUGACGAAGCGUGAGUGACGGUAAUGGGUAAAGAAGCACCGGCUAACUACGUG
rnacentral:rRNA from 1 species